CUGUGAUAUUCCACUUCUGCUUUCUCUGGACAAUUCAUCAGAUUCAAUCUAAAAAGUGGAGGGGGAAAAUACAACACUGCAACAGCUCUGCUGUUCCUUUGCUACUGAUUGCUCUCUGUUCAGGCACAGUACAAGACUCGAGCAUCAGAGAGAAAAGAGCUGAAUUAAGGAACGAGCUACUCUGGCAUCUGCUCCUGCUGCCCAACUGUAUGGCAGGGCAAAAGUCCUGCUAUAGCACUUCUGGCUGCUCGAGGCAGUUCCAGGAGUUGGACUCUACAAUCUUUUUGGGUCUCUUACAACACAGCAUAUUCAAUGCUCCUAUGAUUCUAAGAACCGUGCCUGGACAGCAAGAGGGUCUGCAUAAGCCACUGAGGCAGCAAGAGGCAGAGCAUGCCUUUUCACGCUCCUACAGUCUCACUGUGAAGAAGAAUCUGAAGCAAAAUGCCUUCCAAAGAAUUGUUCAGGAGUUUCACUUUUUCCAUUGGUGAUUAUUGAAAUGAAGCAGAAUCUAGAACCACAACUUCCAGCGAAGAAGUGGCAUGAAGCUAUGUAUUUAUAGGAAAGCAACAAUGUACACAAAGAAUGCAUACCCCAGCAACUACAUUCUCCCUUUCUACUGCAUACCGUCUCCAAUGUCACAGCGUCCCCUAAGUGUUAACGUCACACUGUGGGACAUUGUCCUGGAAAACCUCUCAGCUGUGCAUACAGGGACAGUGCAGCAAUGGAGUUCCCCUUUCCUGAGACCCUCCAAAGAAGAAUCCUGUUGUGAGAAUGAAAAUCAUAGCAGCAGAAGCUGUGGCCUGAGCAGAGAACAAACUCACUGGAAAGCAACCACCUUCUCAAGUAGGCCUGUAGCUAGCAUGCAAGUGAUAUAAGCUGGAGUUUUACCGCCCCUCUCAGUGGGUCUUUUCCUUAUAUAUCAAUUUGAAAAAGCAAAAAUUGGGCUUAUGAAGGCUGUGGAUGACAUGGUUGUAUCUUUUGCUCAUUGUUUUCCAACUGUUCUUCAAAAUACUUGGAAGUAUAUUUAUUCUUCAUGAUCACUCAUAGUUUUUAAUGUUACAACAUGAUAUACAAAAUGGUAGGAGUUUCAGAUUCUCUUCACAGAGAGGAAGAUGUGGAGCUGAAUAAUUCAAGAAGUUGCAAGACUUUUAUUCAGGGAGUAAUGUGCACUGGCAUGGAACACCAGGAGAAGACUUGGAUUAUAGGUUUAUCUGUCUCUUUUUAUGGGUGACCUUGAAAAUGCUUAGAGAAAACUGGAGAGAAAAGCAAUUACAUUUUUGAAAUUACACACCACUGUUCUCAUUCAUCUUGAUAAGCACUUUUAAGUAAUCCAAAAAAGGCUGGAAUAAUGCUUUUACAAGAGUUAUAGAGAUCUUCGCUCUACAGAGUCAGUUUUAAAAUAAAUUUAGAUGUACAAAGAUGAUUCUUUUACUUCCUUUGUCUUGCUAAAUUGGCCAUUUCUAAAAUACUUCAGUCUGAUACUGAGGCUUUUGGCAAAAAAAAGUGUACAGGAUUUUUUUUUCUCGUUCUGAAAAGAUAUACAGCAACUCAGUUUGUGUUGUGCAGUCAUCC
ensembl:lncRNA